rnacentral:rRNA from 1 species
UACGUAGGGUGCAAGCGUUGUCCGGAAUUAUUGGGCGUAAAGAGCUCGUAGGCGGUUUGUUGCGUCGGCUGUGAAAUCCCGAGGCUCAACCUCGGGUCUGCAGUCGAUACGAGCAAACUAGAGUGUUGCAGGGGAGACUGGAAUUCCUGGUGUAGCGGUGAAAUGCGUAGAUAUCGGGAGGAACACCAGUGGCGAAGGCGACUACCUGGCCUGUUCUUGACGCUGAGGCGCGAAAGCUAGGGGAGCAAACAGG